CCUGAAGAAAGCAAGCUGCUAAUGAAAAACUACCUCGGGUUCCAUACAGCAGAGACCUACCGGAACAUUUUGGUAAAAUUGCAGUAUCGCACUACAAAGCGUGUG
rnacentral:lncRNA from 1 species